GGAAAGGUGGCAGAGUGGUCGAAUGCGCCGGACUCGAAAUCCGGUUUACGGGCAACCGUAACGUGGGUUCGAAUCCCACCCUUUCCGCCA
rnacentral:tRNA from 1 species